ACUCCUACGGGAGGCAGCAGUGGGGAAUAUUGCACAAUGGGGGAAACCCUGAUGCAGCCAUGCCGCGUGUGUGAAGAAGGCCUUCGGGUUGUAAAAGCACUUCAGUAGGAGGAAGGUAGUGUAGUUAACACCUGCAUUAUUUGACGUUACCUACAGAAGAAGCACCGGCUAACUCCGUGCCAGCAGCCGCGGUAAUACGGAGGGUGCGAGCGUUAAUCGGAAUUACUGGGCGUAAAAGCGCAUGCAGGCGGCCUGUUAAGUCAGAUGUGAAAAGCCCGGGGCUUAACCUCGGAAUUGCAUUUGAAAACUGGCAGGCUAGAGUCUUGUAGAGGGGGGUAGAAUUUCAGGUGUAGCGGUGAAAUGCGUAGAGAUCUGAAGGAAUACCAGUGGCGAAGGCGGCCCCCUGGACAAAGACUGACGCUCAGAUGCGAAAGCGUGGGGAGCAAAACAGGAUUAGAUACCCUGGUAGGAUAG
rnacentral:rRNA from 1 species